AUUAAACGCUGGCGGCAUGCCUUACACAUGCAAGUCGAACGGCAGCACGGGGGCAACCCUGGUGGCGAGUGGCGGACGGGUGAGUAAAGCAUCGGAACGUAUCCUGGAGUGGGGGAUAACGUAGCGAAAGUUACGCUAAUACCGCAUAUUCUGUGAGCAGGAAAGCAGGGGAUCGCAAGACCUUGCGCUCUGGGAGCGGCCGAUGUCGGAUUAGCUAGUUGGUGGGUAAAGGCCUACCAAGGCGACGAUCCGUAGCGGGUCUGAGAGGAUGAUCCGCCACACUGGGACUGAGACACGGCCCAGACUCCUACGGGAGGCAGCAGUGGGGAAUUUUGGACAAUGGGCGGAAGCCUGAUCCAGCCAUGCCGCGUGAGUGAAGAAGGCCUGCGGGUUGUAAAGCACUUUCAGUGGGGAAGAACGGAUACGGGCCAAUACCCCGCAUCACUGACGUUACCCACAGAAGAAGCACCGGCUAACUCCGUGCCAGCAGCCGCGGUAAU
rnacentral:rRNA from 1 species